CAGCAGCCGCGGGAAUACGUAGGUGGCAAGCGUUGUCCGGAAUUAUUGGGCGUAAAGGGCUCGCAGGCGGUUUCUUAAGUCUGAUGUGAAAGCCCCCGGCUCAACCGGGGAGGGUCAUUGGAAACUGGGAAACUUGAGUGCAGAAGAGGAGAGUGGAAUUCCACGUGUAGCGGUGAAAUGCGUAGAGAUGUGGAGGAACACCAGUGGCGAAGGCGACUCUCUGGUCUGUAACUGACGCUGAGGAGCGAAAGCGUGGGGAGCGAACAGGAUUAGAGACCCGAGUAGUCCCUGUCUCUUAUAA
rnacentral:rRNA from 1 species